rnacentral:rRNA from 1 species
UGCAAGUCGAACGGUAACAGGUCUUCGGAUGCUGACGAGUGGCGAACGGGUGAGUAAUACAUCGGAACGUGCCUAGUAGUGGGGGAUAACUACUCGAAAGAGUGGCUAAUACCGCAUGAGAUCUACGGAUGAAAGCAGGGGAUCGCAAGACCUUGUGCUACUAGAGCGGCCGAUGGCAGAUUAGGUAGUUGGUGGGAUAAAAGCUUACCAAGCCGACGAUCUGUAGCUGGUCUGAGAGGACGAUCAGCCACACUGGGACUGAGACACGGCCCAGACUCCUACGGGAGGCAGCAGUGGGGAAUUUUGGACAAUGGGCGCAAGCCUGAUCCAGCAAUGCCGCGUGCAGGAUGAAGGCCUUCGGGUUGUAAACUGCUUUUGUACGGAACGAAAAGCUCUGGGUUAAUACCCUGGGGUCAUGACGGUACCGUAAGAAUAAGCACCGGCUAACUACGUGCCAGCAGCCGCGGUAAUACGUAGGGUGCAAGCGUUAAUCGGAAUUACUGGGCGUAAAGCGUGCGCAGGCGGUUUUGUAAGACAGAGGUGAAAUCCCCGGGCUCAACCUGGGAACUGCCUUUGUGACUGCAAGGCUAGAGUACGGCAGAGGGGGAUGGAAUUCCGCGUGUAGCAGUGAAAUGCGUAGAUAUGCGGAGGAACACCGAUGGCGAAGGCAAUCCCCUGGGCCUGUACUGACGCUCAUGCACGAAAGCGUGGGGAGCAAACAGGAUUAGAUA